rnacentral:rRNA from 1 species
UACGUAGGGCGCAAGCGUUAUCCGGAAUUAUUGGGCGUAAAGAGCUCGUAGGCGGUUUGUCGCGUCUGCCGUGAAAGUCCGGGGCUCAACUCCGGUAUCUGCGGUGGGUACGGGCAGACUAGAGUGAUGUAGGGGAGACUGGAAUUCCUGGUGUAGCGGUGAAAUGCGCGAUAUCAGGAGGAACACCGAUGGCGAAGGCAGGUCUCUGGGCAUUAACUGACGCUGGAGGAGCGAAAGCUGGGGAGCGAACAGG